AGAGCCAUCUGCAAAACUACUGUGCAAUCGGAAAGAAAAGAACAGCAUGGCUUCCUUGCCUCAGAGACAGCUCACAAGACCCUCCCUAAGAAACCCACAGAGAAACGUGGGCUCCCUGCUCUGACAGCUCCCAGGGGAUGUCGGUGGGGGAUAAAGACGCUGAAGGCCGCCUCAGAGAUAAAAGGUCAGCUACUGUGUGAACUUGACUCCGUGAACCUGACUCCACAUGCAACCUGAAUCCUGCUGGAAACAGGCAUGGUCCCCGUGUCAAUAGAGGAUAUGUACAUCUGCCAGACUCUAGGACAAGAACCUCAUGACAUGCUUGCUGACUGGCAGCUCCUGGAAGGUUGGAAUCAUCAACAGUCACUAGCUCCUAGGAAUCCACGCAGAGCAAUCGCCCUGGAAACAGCACAGAGGACUGAGGCCUAGAGCCAGGAUCUGAUGUCCCCUGGAAGGACCGGACCCCCUCCUGUGAGGCUAGGGGAACUGAGUGACCGGAACUUCCUCCAG
rnacentral:lncRNA from 1 species